rnacentral:rRNA from 1 species
GAUGAACGCUGGCGGCGUGCCUAAUACAUGCAAGUCGAGCGAACGGACGAGAAGCUUGCUUUUCUGAUGUUAGCGGCGGACGGGUGAGUAACACGUGGAUAACCUACCUAUAAGACUGGGAUAACUUCGGGAAACCGGAGCUAAUACCGGAUAAUAUUUUGAACCGCAUGGUUCAAAAGUGAAAGACGGUCUUGCUGUCACUUAUAGAUGGAUCCGCGCUGCAUUAGCUAGUUGGUAAGGUAACGGCUUACCAAGGCAACGAUGCAUAGCCGACCUGAGAGGGUGAUCGGCCACACUGGAACUGAGACACGGUCCAGACUCCUACGGGAGGCAGCAGUAGGGAAUCUUCCGCAAUGGGCGAAAGCCUGACGGAGCAACGCCGCGUGAGUGAUGAAGGUCUUCGGAUCGUAAAACUCUGUUAUUAGGGAAGAACAUAUGUGUAAGUAACUGUGCACAUCUUGACGGUACCUAAUCAGAAAGCCACGGCUGACUACGUGCCAGCAGCCGCGGUAAUACGUAGGUGGCAAGCGUUAUCCGGAAUUAUUGGGCGUAAAGCGCGCGUAGGCGGUUUUUUAAGUCUGAUGCGAAAGCCCACGGCUCAACCGUGGAGGGUCAUUGGAAACUGGAAAACUUGAGUGCAGAAGAGGAAAGUGGAAUUCCAUGUGUAGCGGUGAAAUGCGCAGAGAUGUGGAGGAACACCAGUGGCGAAGGCGACUUUCUGGUCUGUAACUGACGCUGAUGUGCGAAAGCGUGGGGAUCAAACAGGAUUAGAUACCCUGGUAGUCCACGCCGUAAACGAUGAGUGCUAAGUGUUAGGGGGUUUCCGCCCCUUAGUGCUGCAGCUAACGCAUUAAGCACUCCGCCUGGGGAGUACGACCGCAAGGUUGAAACUCAAAGGAAUUGACGGGGGCCCGCACAAGCGGUGGAGCAUGUGGUUUAAUUCGAAGCAACGCGAAGAACCUUACCAAAUCUUGACAUCCUUUGACAACUCUAGAGAUAGAGCCUUCCCCUUCGGGGGACAAAGUGACAGGUGGUGCAUGGUUGUCGUCAGCUCGUGUCGUGAGAUGUUGGGUUAAGUCCCGCAACGAGCGCAACCCUUAAGCAUAGUUGCCAUCAUUAAGUUGGGCACUCUAAGUUGACUGCCGGUGACAAACCGGAGGAAGGUGGGGAUGACGUCAAAUCAUCAUGCCCCUUAUGAUUUGGGCUACACACGUGCUACAAUGGACAAUACAAAGGGCAGCGAAACCGCGAGGUCAAGCAAAUCCCAUAAAGUUGUUCUCAGUUCGGAUUGUAGUCUGCAACUCGACUACAUGAAGCUGGAAUCGCUAGUAAUCGUAGAUCAGCAUGCUACGGUGAAUACGUUCCCGGGUCU